rnacentral:rRNA from 1 species
ACGCUCGACACCUACGGUAGGCAGCAGUGGGGAAUAUUGCACAAUGGGGGAAACCCUGAUGCAGCGAUGCCGCGUGAAGGAAGAAGUAUCUCGGUAUGUAAACUUCUAUCAGCAGGGAAGAAAAUGACGGUACCUGACUAAGAAGCCCCGGCUAACUACGUGCUAGCAGCCGCGGUAAUCUGAGCGGGCUGGCAAGGC